rnacentral:rRNA from 1 species
AAGAAAGUAACUAAGAGCGUACGGGGGAUGCCUAGGCUCUCAGAGGCGAAGAAGGACGUGAUAAGCUGCGAAAAGCUACGGGGAAGUGCAAAUGACUUUUGAUCCGUAGAUAUCCGAAUGGGGCAACCCAUCUAGUUGAAGACUAGAUAUCCAGUAAUGGAGGCGAACCCGCUGAACUGAAACAUCUAAGUAAGCGGAGGAAGAGAAAACAAUAGUGAUUUCCCAAGUAGUGGCGAGCGAACGGGAAAUAGCCCAAACCAAAAUUGUUACGGCAAUUUUGGGGUUGUAGGACUGUAGAAUGGACAGAUAAAAUUUAGUAGAAUUACCUGGAAAGGUAGGCUGUAGAAGGUGAAAGCCCUGUAUACGAAAAGUUUUAUUUACCGAACAGUAUCCUGAGUAAGGCGGAACCGGAGAAAUUCUGUCUGAAUCCAGCGGCACCAUCCGCUAAGGCUAAAUACUACUGAGAGACCGAUAGUGAACCAGUACCGUGAGGGAAAGGUGAAAAGAACCGCGAACAGCGGAGUGAAAUAGAACCUGAAACCGUGCGCUUACAAACGGUCGGAGUCCCGCAAGGGGUGACGGCGUGCCUUUUGCAUAAUGAGCCUACGAGUUACUUCUCACUAGCAAGGUUAAGCAUGAAAACGUGCGUAGCCGAAGCGAAAGCGAGUCUGAAUAGGGCGUUAAGUUAGUGGGAGUAGACGCGAAACUUUGUGAUCUACCCAUGACCAGGUUGAAGCUCCGUUAACACGGAGUGGAGGACCGAACCAGUUGAUGUUGAAAAAUCUUUGGAUGAGUUGUGGGUAGGGGUGAAAGGCUAAUCAAACUGAGAGAUAGCUCGUACUCCCCGAAAUGUUUUUAGGAACAGCCUUGGGGUUGAGUGUCAUAGAGGUAGAGCUACUGAUAGGAUGCGGGGGCUUCAUCGCCUACCAACUCCUGACAAACUCCGAAUGCUAUGACAUAUACCCAGGAGUGAGGCGUUGGGUGCUAAGGUCCAGCGCCGAGAGGGAAAGAACCCAGACUAUCAGCUAAGGUCCCCAAAUAUAUGCUAAGUUGAUCUAACGAGGUGCGAUUGCAUUGACAGCUAGGAUGUUGGCUUGGAAGCAGCCAUUCAUUUAAAGAGUGCGUAACAGCUCACUAGUCGAGCGAUUGUGCAUGGAUGAUAAUCGGGCAUAAAGCAUAUUACCGAAGCUAUAGAUUGUUGCCAUAAGGUAACACUGGUAGGGGAGCAUUCCAGUUGCGUAGAAGAUGUGUGGUAAUGCAUGUUGGAGCGGCUGGAAAAGCAAAUGUAGGCAUAAGUAACGAUAAUGCGGGUGGGAAACCCGCACACCGGAAGACUAAGGUUUCCUGAUCAACGCUAAUCGGAUCAGGGUUAGUCGGGACCUAAGGCGUAGCCGAAAGGCGAAGUCGAUGGACAACUGGUUAAUAUUCCAGUACUUGCUUGUACUGCGAAGGAGGGACGGAGUAGUGACACGUAUGCGUACUGACGGAAUAGUACGUUGAAGGGUGUAGAUAUAUUUAGUGUAGGCAAAUCCGCAUUGAAUGUCGAACCUGAUAGUACCUUGAGUUUUCGGACAAGAGGAUAAUUACGGUAAACAGACUUCCAAGAAAAACUUCUAAGCUUCAGGUACAAGCGACCCGUACCGCAAACCGACACAGGUAGUCGAGGAGAGUAUCCAAAGGUGCUCGAGUGAUCCAUGGCUAAGGAACUAGGCAAAUUAGUCCUGUAACUUCGGGAAAAAGGACCCCCACUUAGUGGGGCGCAGAGAAAUGGCCCUGGCGACUGUUUAUCAAAAACACAUGGCUUUGCAAAAUCGCAAGAUGAAGUAUAAGGCCUGACACCUGCCCGGUGCUGGAAGGUUAAGAGGAGAGGUUAGUUAGUAAUAGCGAAGCUUUGAAUUGAAGCCCCAGUAAACGGCGGCCGUAACUAUAACGGUCCUAAGGUAGCGAAAUUCCUUGUCGGGUAAGUUCCGACCUGCACGAAUGGUGUAACGAUCUGGGCACUGUCUCAGCCAUGAGCUCGGUGAAAUUGAAGUUCCGGUGAAGAUGCCGGAUACCCGCAACGGGACGGAAAGACCCCGUGAACCUUCACUACAACUUAACAUUGAGUUUGGAUAAACGAUGUGUAGGAUAGGUGGGAGACUGCGAAGCUGUGCCGCUAGGUAUGGUGGAGUCAACGUUGAAAUACCACCCUUUGUUUAUUUGAAUUCUAAUUCCGCAAAAGCGGACGACAGUGUUUGGUGGGUAGUUUGACUGGGGUGGUCGCCUCCAAAAGAGUAACGGAGGCUUUCAAAGGUACCCUCAGCACGCUUGGUAACCGUGCGUAGAGUGCAAUGGCACAAGGGUGCUUGACUGUGAGACCAACAAGUCGAUCAGGUGCGAAAGCAGGACAUAGUGAUCCGGUGGUUCCGAAUGGAAGGGCCAUCGCUCAAAGGAUAAAAGGUACUCCGGGGAUAACAGGCUGAUCACCCCCAAGAGCUCAUAUCGACGGGGUGGUUUGGCACCUCGAUGUCGGCCCGUCACAUCCUGGGGCUGGAGAAGGUCCCAAGGGUUAGGCUGUUCGCCUAUUAAAGUGGCACGCGAGCUGGGUUCAGAACGUCGCGAGACAGUUCGGUCCCUAUCUGUUGUGGGCGUUAGAAAUUUGAGAGGAGCUGACUCUAGUACGAGAGGACCGAGUCGGACGUACCUCUAGUGUACCUGUUGUGGCGCCAGCUGCAUCGCAGGGUAGCUAUGUACGGAUGAGAUAAGUGCUGAAAGCAUCUAAGUACGAAACUCGCCUCAAGAUGAGAUUUCUUUUAAGGGUCGUUGAAGAUCACGACGUUGAUAGGCUACAGGUGUAAAGGCGGUAACGUCAAAGCCGAGUAGUACUAAUUACCCGUAAGCUUUCUGC